rnacentral:rRNA from 1 species
GACGAACGCUUGCGGCGUGCUUAACACAUGCAAGUCGAACGGAAAGGCCCUGCUUUUGUGGGGUGCUCGAGUGGCGAACGGGUGAGUAACACGUGGGUAACCUGCCCUUGACUUUGGGAUAACUUCAGGAAACUGGGGCUAAUACCGGAUAGGAGCUCCUGCUGCAUGGUGGGGGUUGGAAAGUUUCGGCGGUUGGGGAUGGACUCGCGGCUUAUCAGCUUGUUGGUGGGGUAGUGGCUUACCAAGGCUUUGACGGGUAGCCGGCCUGAGAGGGUGACCGGCCACAUUGGGACUGAGAUACGGCCCAGACUCCUACGGGAGGCAGCAGUGGGGAAUAUUGCACAAUGGGCGGAAGCCUGAUGCAGCAACGCCGCGUGCGGGAUGACGGCCUUCGGGUUGUAAACCGCUUUCGCCUGUGACGAAGCGUGAGUGACGGUAAUGGGUAAAGAAGCACCGGCUAACUACGUGCCAGCAGCCGCGGUGAUACGUAGGGUGCGAGCGUUGUCCGGAUUUAUUGGGCGUAAAGGGCUCGUAGGUGGUUGAUCGCGUCGGAAGUGUAAUCUUGGGGCUUAACCCUGAGCGUGCUUUCGAUACGGGUUGACUUGAGGAAGGUAGGGGAGAAUGGAAUUCCUGGUGGAGCGGUGGAAUGCGCAGAUAUCAGGAGGAACACCAGUGGCGAAGGCGGUUCUCUGGGCCUUUCCUGACGCUGAGGAGCGAAAGCGUGGGGAGCGAACAGGCUUAGAUACCCUGGUAGUCCACGCUGUAAACGGUGGGUACUAGGUGUGGGGUCCAUUCCACGGGUUCCGUGCCGUAGCUAACGCUUUAAGUACCCCGCCUGGGGAGUACGGCCGCAAGGCUAAAACUCAAAGGAAUUGACGGGGCCCCGCACAAGCGGCGGAGCAUGCGGAUUAAUUCGAUGCAACGCGUAGAACCUUACCUGGGUUUGACAUGGAUCGGGAGUGCUCAGAGAUGGGUGUGCCUCUUUUGGGGUCGGUUCACAGGUGGUGCAUGGCUGUCGUCAGCUCGUAUCGUGAGAUGUUGGGUUAAGUCCCGCAACGAGCGCAACCCUUGUUCACUGUUGCCAGCACGUUAUGGUGGGGACUCAGUGGAGACCGCCGGGGUCAACUCGGAGGAAGGUGGGGAUGACGUCAAGUCAUCAUGCCCCUUAUGUCCAGGGCUUCACGCAUGCUACAAUGGCUGGUACAGAGAGUGGCGAGCCUGUGAGGGUGAGCGAAUCUCGGAAAGCCGGUCUCAGUUCGGAUUGGGGUCUGCAACUCGACCUCAUGAAGUCGGAGUCGCUAGUAAUCGCAGAUCAGCAACGCUGCGGUGAAUACGUUCCCGGG